ACACCAAAGCAGGACAUCGCAGGAUGCUGGAACGCCAGUCAACUGUUUAUUUGUGGACUGACCUUGCUUCUUAAUCUACUUUCCACAGCCAAACGCAAACUGGAGAAGAGGAGGGAGGUACUUGUGUGUGCUUCAUCUCUCCUGGGUGAUGGCUUCACCAGGCUGUGCAUUGAAGGAUGUUUGAGAUUGCCAAGGACAACACAAGGCAUUCGGACCUAGCCGGUGUCAGCCUCAUUUUCAAAGGGCGUAGUCUCAGCUGUGCUUUAGGGAUUAGGAGAGCCUCUGAAGUCUCCCCCUUGGGCUCAGCCAUGUGGUCAGCGCAGCAGCCUGAAGAACAGUGAGAAGCAGAGAGAGCAGUCCAGACGGUGGGGAGGCAAAGAGCAAGACCAGAGAUUGGAAUGUGUCAGCUGACUCAGGACUGAGCAGAAGACAGAGGAGGUGCCUGAGCUUCAGCAUUCUGGGCGUGUGACGGGUCAAUCCCAUCCGGAAAUACUAAUUCUGCUAUUUGAAGGCUCUCUGAUCUUGAGAUGUCAUUAAAACUCCCUGAGACUCAGUUUACCCAUCUGCAACAUGGAGGACAAGAUUGAGGAUAUACUGCAUGGUUCGGACCAGAUGAACCGUGAAUGUGCCUAUGGAAGAUUUUUCGUUUUGAAAACAAACAUGGAAGAUGUCAGUGAGCUAAACCAGGAGAAUAAGGAGAUUGCAGUAUUUUGCAUGGAAAAUUGGGAAGUAUAGGAAAUGGCAACUUCAAAGUGGAGGAGACUGAGGGUUCAUGUCUCUGGACCUAGGAGAAGGAAGUAGAGAAAAUGAGAACCUCUCCUGAGACAGAGAAGAAAUCCUUAACUCUAAGCAUAUAGGAAGGCGAUAUAGGUCCCAAAUGUUCACCUUGCUGUUAUUCAAGUCCUUCAAAUAUAGAUGCUAAAAUGCUCUAUCAUCCAGCUGAACAUCAGAAAAACAACGAAAGCAUAUUUUAACCGAAGUAGUAUGAACUCCACUCUCCAAAUAUUCAACAAAUAUGUCGUUAUCUAAGGAUAUUUCUUGUAUGGACACAUCUUCCCCAGGGCAAAUGCCUUAGUCCAUUUUUUGUAGUGCUGUUAAUAGUCCAGAAUAUUUCACCUGAGACUGGUUAGACAGAUCUUAUUGGCUCACAGUUCCGGAGCUGGGAAGACCAAUAUCGAGAUUCAAAUACCUACCAAGGCCCUGUGAGAGAGGCUGAAAGGGGGCUGAAUUCCCCUUUUAUAAUAACAUCAAUUCCACCUUAAGGAUGGAGCCCUCAUGGUCAGAUCCCAUUUUAAAGGUUUCACCUCUUAAGACUUUUACAUCGGCAAUUAAAUGUCAGCAUGAGUUUUGAAGGAUAAGAACAUCCAAAUCAUAGCAGUAAAGAGGGGCUGGGGAUGUGGCUCAAGUGGUAGUGCGCUCGCCUGGCAUGUGUGCGGCCCGGGUUCAAUCCUCAGCACCACAUACAAACAAAGAUGUUGUGUCCGCUGAAAACUAAGAAAUAAAUAUUUAAA
rnacentral:lncRNA from 1 species